rnacentral:rRNA from 1 species
GACGAACGCUGGCGGCGUGCUUAACACAUGCAAGUCGAACGGUAAGGCCCUUCGGGGUACACGAGUGGCGAACGGGUGAGUAACACGUGGGUGAUCUGCCCUGCACUUCGGGAUAAGCCUGGGAAACUGGGUCUAAUACCGGAUAGGACCACUGCCUGCAUGGGUGGUGGUGGAAAGCUUUUGCGGUGUGGGAUGGGCCCGCGGCCUAUCAGCUUGUUGGUGGGGUGAUGGCCUACCAAGGCGACGACGGGUAGCCGGCCUGAGAGGGUGACCGGCCACACUGGGACUGAGACACGGCCCAGACGCCUACGGGAGGCAGCAGUGGGGAAUAUUGCACAAUGGGCGCAAGCCUGAUGCAGCGACGCCGCGUGAGGGAUGACGGCCUUCGGGUUGUAAACCUCUUUCAGCAUCGACGAAGCGAAAGUGACGGUAGGUGCAGAAGAAGGACCGGCCAACUACGUGCCAGCAGCCGCGGUAA